rnacentral:rRNA from 1 species
UACGUAGGGGGCUAGCAUUGUCCGGAAUCAUUGGGCGUAAAGAGCGUGUAGGCGGUCCGGUAAGUCCGCUGUGAAAGUCGGGGGCUCAACCCUCGAAUGCCGGUGGAUACUGUCGGGCUAGAGUGCGGAAGAGGCGAGUGGAAUUCCUGGUGUAGCGGUGAAAUGCGCAGAUAUCAGGAGGAACACCUAUUGCGAAGGCAGCUCGCUGGGACGUAACUGACGCUGAGACGCGAAAGCGUGGGGAGCAAACAGG